UACGUAGGGUGCGAGCGUUGUCCGGAAUUAUUGGGCGUAAAGAGCUCGUAGGUGGCGGGUCACGUCGGGUGUGAAAGCCCGGGGCUUAACUCCGGGUCUGCAUUCGAUACGGGUCUGCUGGGGUCCGGCAGGGGAGACUGGAAUUCCUGGUGUAGCGGUGAAAUGCGCGGAUAUCAGGAGGAACACCGGUGGCGAAGGCGGGUCUCUGGGCCGGUACCGACGCUGAGGAGCGAAAGCGUGGGGAGCGAACAGG
rnacentral:rRNA from 1 species